UACGAAGGGGGCUAGCGUUGCUCGGAAUCACUGGGCGUAAAGGGUGCGUAGGCGGGUCUUUAAGUCAGGGGUGAAAUCCUGGAGCUCAACUCCAGAACUGCCUUUGAUACUGAAGAUCUUGAGUUCGGGAGAGGUGAGUGGAACUGCGAGUGUAGAGGUGAAAUUCGUAGAUAUUGGGAGGAACACCAGUGGCGAAGGCGGCUCACUGGACCGGUACUGACGCUGAAGCGCGAAAGCGUGGGGAGCAAACGGG
rnacentral:rRNA from 1 species